CAGACAAACAGGAAGCCUGUGUGUCAAACUUUGCAGCUCUGUAAUAGAAAGCCGCGUUAUCGCUGUUCCAGUAAGAUGCAGCUGGCCCUGCAUUGAGACUCCUGAAGCAGCAUCUGGGGGGGAAAUUCAAAGCUACUGAUCUGGCAGCCUACAAAAAGGGGAAGGCACCUCGGGGAAGAAGUCCAUUUAAAUUAAAAUGGAGGCCAAUUCAGAAAAAAAGGAAUAAUCGACUGAGCUUUGAGGAAUCUGAGAUGAUUCAUGAAUUUCAGACCAACACCGAAUUUAUCCAGAAGCCUCAGGGUUUAGCAGCAUGAAUUAGAUCAUUUUAAAUUCAGUUAAGGUACCCCCCUGACCUAUUCAUGCAACUUUCAACACCCUGAAAAAAAUCCUCAUUGAAGUGUGUGUGUGUGUGUGUAUUUAUUUUGAAAAGAAUAGGAGAAAGUAGUCUAGAGGAUUGUGUGUUGAUCUGCAUCACAGCUCAUGAUGCAGAUCAACACAUUAGUACAAAGUUAACCAAGAGAGGCAGACCAAGACAAAGAACACAUUGCUACUCGCUUAUUCCAAUAUUCCUCGAAGGUAUGAGGCAAGUGAAUAGCAGUAUUUCUAAGUUAUACUUCAUUAGUCUUCACUUCUUGUUGACAAGUGAACACAUUUUUUAUUGCUGGCAUUGCACGGCAGAUUGCACACAUUUUGUUUGUCAUGAUAAGAGGGUAUUUAAGUAAUCUGUCAACCGGAUGCACGAUGUAAAAGUUUGUGAUGUCUGAGAUUAAAUGUAUUGAAUAACAAGUGAAAGCUGCAGGCAAUUAGACUUCAAAGUGGCGAUUCCGCUCUGACUGCUUGAAAAGGUUUCACAAGAGGUUUAAUGGGUGCAACCCUCCAUCGGCUCACUUUUCUAUUUUUGUU